UCAGCAAAAGCCAAAGUAGAGGCUUCCUAUUGUUAGUGGGAAAAUUGAGUUAUUCUUGUUGAG
rnacentral:tRNA from 1 species